rnacentral:tRNA from 1 species
UCCCUGGUGGUUUAGUGGGUUAAGGACCCAGCAUUGUCAACGCUGUGGCGUAGGUUCAACCCCUGGCCUGGGAA